GUCGACGAACUUCUUUAUCACCGAGUGCUUGCACUCACCGAUAAAGAGUUGAGUGGCGAACGGGUGAGUAACACGUGGGCAACCUGCCCAAAAGAGGGGGAUAACACUUGGAAACAGGUGCUAAUACCGCAUAACCAUAGUUACCGCAUGGUAACUAUGUAAAAGGUGGCUAUGCUACCGCUUUUGGAUGGGCCCGCGGCGCAUUAGCUAGUUGGUGGGGUAAAGGCUUACCAAGGCAAUGAUGCGUAGCCGAACUGAGAGGUUGAUCGGCCACAUUGGGACUGAGACACGGCCCAAACUCCUACGGGAGGCAGCAGUAGGGAAUCUUCCACAAUGGGCGAAAGCCUGAUGGAGCAACGCCGCGUGGGUGAAGAAGGUCUUCGGAUCGUAAAACCCUGUUGUUAGAGAAGAAAGUGCGUGAGAGUAACUGUUCACGUUUCGACGGUAUCUAACCAGAAAGCCACGGCUAACUACGUGCCAGCAGCCGCGGUAAUACGUAGGUGGCAAGCGUUAUCCGGAUUUAUUGGGCGUAAAGGGAACGCAGGCGGUCUUUUAAGUCUGAUGUGAAAGCCUUCGGCUUAACCGGAGUAGUGCAUUGGAAACUGGGAGACUUGAGUGCAGAAGAGGAGAGUGGAACUCCAUGUGUAGCGGUGAAAUGCGUAGAUAUAUGGAAGAACACCAGUGGCGAAAGCGGCUCUCUGGUCUGUAACUGACGCUGAGGUUCGAAAGCGUGGGUAGCAAACAGGAUUAGAUACCCUGGUAGUCC
rnacentral:rRNA from 1 species